rnacentral:rRNA from 1 species
UGCAAGUCUGGUGCCAGCAGCCGCGGUAAUUCCAGCUCCAAUAGCGUAUGUUAAAGUUGUUGCAGUUAAAAAGCUCGUAGUUGAACCUCGCCGCCGGCUCUAGGUCAUCCUCACGGAUUGUACUUAGCGCUUGCGGUUUUGCCCUACUAGUGCGUGCGUUCGCGUGCGUUCAUAGAGGGCGUUUACUGUGAGAAAAUUAGAGUGUUCAAAGCAGGCGUUUCGCUCGUAUACGUUAGCAUGGAAUAAUAGAAUAGGACGAGGGUUCUAUUUUGUUGGUUCUAGGACCGUCGUAAUGAUUAAUAGGGAUGGUCGGGGGCAUCAGUAUUCAGUAGUAAGAGGUGAAAUUCUUUGAUUUACUGAAGACUAACUGCUGCGAAAGCAUUUGCCAAA